GAGGAAGGGAAUUUUGACAUUUCGAGCUAUUGGAUGGAGAUCCCUGCAAAGAGUAUUAAAGGAUUAAAACUAAAAACAGAAUCCAGGGGAGGCUGGGCCUGAGGAGCGCCUUGCCCUGGAUCCACCCUGACAUGCCAGCAGAGCCUGAGCGGGCGCCCUCCGCCCAGAGGCCUCCGGCCGGUUGGGCCCUGUUUAGUGGGUCCCUGCAGCCCCUCAGCCACAGGCAAAUUAAGUGAGCCUGCAGUAGCCAGGGACCUCGCCCUUCCCUGGCUCCCAGUCCAUGGUGAAGAGACUUCCACUUGUGAUCCGUCCCUUGCUGUGCCAGUUUUAAGCCACGAGGUGCCCUAAGAGUCCACGUGAGCAUGCGCAUCCUGCUCCUCCAUCCAGCAUACAGUCUGUUUACGAAACCGCUAUUUAGCACUGGGCAUGGUGUUCCCACGCCCCUGCCGAGUGCCUCUGAGUCCUUCCCUGCUCCGGUGGCUGUGACUCUUAGCUCCUGGAGGCACGUCUGCGGCCCCGCACCCCACUGCUCCCCAGUUUCCCCCUCCCUGGGACUGGAGAGGCAUGGCUCUCCCUCUGUCUGUCACGGCCUGGGCAUGGUCCUGCUGUCCUGGGAAACACUUACCGAUUAGGAGUGUGGUCACUGUCUGCAGCCUGGUGCCCCCUGUGCCUGGCUCCUGCCUCAAGCUCUGCCCCCUCUGUCCCCUCUGCUCUGCCUGGGGCUGGGGUCCUCCCUUACCUGCGGUUCCUUUGAAGGACAUUGAAAGACCUCUGUGCCUUCACCCAAGCCAAUGAGUGGGAAAUCGUUUUGAAGAGUGUGUGGAAGGGAGAGAAAGUCCUGGGGCGGACAGGAGGCUGGGAAGGUGAGCAGGGCUGGUCACAUGGAAAUGGAGGAAUGGUUUCUAGGACAAGGGCCACUUGCAAUCCCACUGCUUCCAUAUUCUAUUGUUCUGAUGAAUUAUCCAUUUAAUAGCUUCCUAAGUAAUCAUUUUGGAAAGUUAUACCAAUAAAAUACUAUAGUCUUUAAAAUUUCCCCAAUUUAAGGCCUCAUUACCUCCUGUAAUAAGUGCCAUUGCAUUCACAGCACCGUACUGUAGUUAAGAGCCAAGCAGAGCUAACGAGGAGCACGCCUCUCCAACUGCGAGAUCCCCACGUCCAGUGGUGUUCCCAGCCUCCUUUCCAUGACCCUAGGAGUCGCUGAUGGCUGCCUCCAUUUGGAAGUGCUGGUCCCCUCUAAAGUGGGGGUGUGCAUGCAUGGAAGGCCUUGGCUGGCACCUCUUGUGUGUGCAUUUAUUCUGGUCUGCUUUAAUUUCAGUAUCUGCUGGAGAACUCUGUCCUGAGAGAACCUGAGCAGGAUGACCUGCCCUCCAGGAUCUAUCUAACUUUAACAACCACGGUGGGACGAAGCAUGACUCCACAUGGAGCUAAGUCCUUCAGAUGACCUGACUGAGGACACUGAUGUCGUUACUAUUAACACUUGCAUCAGUCACACAGGGUCUGCAGAAGGAUCACACCCACACAGUGCUCUAUGAUCACACGUGGUGGUGUCUUGCUGCACUUUUACAGGCAGGAACAGAGACAGUGUGCUUCUGUCACUGUCAUUGCCAAAAGGACUUCCUCUUCAUCCUCCAAAGGCAAGGCAGGCCGGUACGGUCACUUUCUUGCUGCCCCCUCAGGCCCUCAGAGCUGUGGUUGUUCCCACUUUGCAGAUAAGAACAGGCCGCACCCUCUGCCCCGGGACCCAGACCUCCUGGGCAGGGAGGUUUCCGCUCAGUCCUCCGACUCCGAGGCUCAGCCAGAGUCUGUCGUCCCACAGAGACACUGUUUCCCCUGAGUGGGUUUCCACCUAGGCAGCUUUAGAGAGGAAAGAAUCCACUCUGGUCCUUUGGAACCUCAAAUGCAGGAGGUUUCAUUAUGUUUCUGCAUUAUCUAUUCUGGAGAUAUCCAUUUUCAGUUUCUGGGAAACUAACAAUAACCAAGUUUUACUUUCUGGUUAAAUGAGGAAUUUAAUCACAUUUCAACUUUUAUCUACAGACUAGCUCUUUACCUCUGAUGAUCUUGAACUUCUCCCCAAGCCUUUAUAGUUUUGGGAAAUAGUAAAGGGUAAGAGCAAAUCCACUCCCUAGGAUUCCCGGAAAUAGCUCACAGCCAGGGCCACCCCUCACCAAAUGGCUCAGGUGAGAUUGAGGGUCCUCCCUCCUCCCUGGACAAGGCCAGGCAUGGAGCCCCCACACUGGUGGGGACACAGGGAGAUGCUCAGCUGCUUGUCCCACUGACAUGUCCAUCAAAAUGCUGGUCCUCCACACCUUGGCUGGACGUCUCCUUCCCCAGAUCCAUCCUCAGCCUGAGCAGCAGAGGCCCCUCCCCUCAGGCCCACCUGGGAACAGACCCCAGAGAAGCAUCUGCCGUGGGGUGAGCCCUGCCCUGCUCCGGGGCCCCAGCUCUGUUCACUUCUCCUGGCCCUUGACCUACGUGCAGGCCUUGUGCUCAGAGCCCCCCGCCCACCUGACAGGUCAGCAGCCCCUUCCGUGGCCAAGUUCUCUUCACCCUGCAGGUAGCCUCGUGAGUGCAGCCUCUCCUCAUGAGCCCGGCUCUGUUCUCUUCUGGACUCCAGUCUACAGCCAGGAUAAAUGCACCCUGCUCAGCUGACCCAACCCGUUACCCGCCUGCCUCCUCCUCUGCAGGUCCAGUGGUCUGACUCGUCACGAUGUCAGAGUCUGCACUACCAGUUAACUCCAUUUUGAAAGAGAAGACUUCAGAGUCAUGUGCACGUCAGCAGGCAGGAGUGCCGCUGGCUGUGGGAGCUGCAGGUGAACAACCUGCCAUGCUCACUCUGUUCUCCACGGCUCACCCGUGGGUCUGUGGGUAACAACAAGGAGACCCAACACCACCACCCCAGGAGUAGAGGCGAACACGAGUAACGGACAAGCACCACGCCAGAGCGCGGCCUGGGCCCCACACGGACCUGCUCCACCUGUGUGUGAGCAGCACACCUGAGCCUCCCACCAGGAGAAAGCCCCGCAGUGCAGACACACCCUGGUCUUCCCCUUCCGAGAAUGCUGGCCUGAUGUCAGAGUGCACACGUGUAAUCCCUGCUCGUUUGUGCUAGUGGACAGGGUCAGAGAUGCGAAUAAAUCAAUAUAUCCGA